rnacentral:rRNA from 1 species
UACGAAGGGGGGCUAGCGUUGCUCGGAAUCAUUGGGCGUAAAGCGCGCGUAGGUGGCCCGGUAAGUCCGCUCUGAAAGUCACAGGCUCAACCUGUGAAAGCGGGUGGAUACUGCCGGGCUAGAGUCCGGAAGAGGCGAGUGGAAUUCCUGGUGUAGCGGUGGAAUGCGCAGAUAUCAGGAGGAACACCAACGGCGAAGGCAGCUCGCUGGGACGGUACUGACACUGAGGCGCGAAAGCGUGGGGAGCGAACAGG